GCGAGUAUAACUCUCUAAAACCAUUGUGAACGAACGAACCCGUUGCUUCGGCGGACGGCUCUGCUGCCGCCGGAAGAACGCUAACUCUUGUUAUUAUUGUUUCUCUGAGUACUUAUUCAAUAAGUAA
rnacentral:misc_RNA from 1 species